GAUGAACGCUAGCGGCAGGCUUAAUACAUGCAAGUCGAGGGGCAGCAGCUUUGUAGCAAUACAAGGGCUGGCGACCGGCAAACGGGUGCGGAACACGUACGCAACCUUCCUUUAACUGGGAGAUAGCCCACCGAAAGGUGGAUUAAUAUCCCAUAGUAUAUUUGAGUGGCAUCACUUAGAUAUUAAAGCUCCGGCGGUUAAAGAUGGGCGUGCGUCUGAUUAGGUAGUUGGCGGGGUAACGGCCCACCAAGCCCACGAUCAGUAGCUGAUGUGAGAGCAUGAUCAGCCACACGGGCACUGAGACACGGGCCCGACUCCUACGGGAGGCAGCAGUAAGGAAUAUUGGUCAAUGGACGCAAGUCUGAACCAGCCAUGCCGCGUGGAGGAUGAAGGCCCUCUGGGUUGUAAACUUCUUUUCUUUGGGACGAAACCCCUGUUUCUACGGGGACUGACGGUACCAGAGGAAUAAGCACCGGCUAACUCCGUGCCAGCAGCCGCGGUAA
rnacentral:rRNA from 1 species